rnacentral:lncRNA from 1 species
UUUUUUUUUUUUUUGCUUAAAUGAGCUCAUCUCUUCUGUUGACUUGAAAUAUCAAGUAUCUGUCAAUCACUCACAUGUUCCUGAGGCUAGAGGUGGCCUUGUCUCAGCUCUAGGCUCCGUCACCUGGCUGGAGAUAAAAUGAAAGCAGUGGGAAUGUAAUAAUUGCCUGGCAACUGUAUUUUCUCAGAUAUAAUGGCCCUGAACCCCAUCCUAAAGACUUGGAAGUUGGACUUGUCUCUUUUUGGAGGGGAGCCCACCUGUGGCAUAUAGAAAUUCACAGCCCAGGGGUUGACCCUGUGCUGCAGCAGCAACCUGAGCCACUGCAGUGACGAUGCUGGAUCCUUAACUCACUGAGCCACAGGGGAACUCCCAGAGUUGUCUUUCUAAGACUUGGGAUGGUUUUAUACUGAGCUAUCUUCUUCCUCUGACCCUCCACACAACUGCAAAAGGAUGACUGUGAUGGCGACUGCUUGCUGUCCACCAAAAUCCAUUUCCUUUACUGUGGGUACAAAUCAAAUCCACAGGGCCUCACCCCAAGCGUUAGGUGUGUCAGGUGUUAGGUGCAGCCCACGACUGGGUUCUGUCCAGGAGACCCAGGGCAGAGGGGAUCAAGGGUCUGGAGGGGUAAGGCGGCACUGCAUUCUUCAACAGGUAAGACUGGCAACUAUCUCCUCCAUCCAAUAGUUAUCAAGAAUGCAAUAAACACUGGCCAGAACGGCCGUCAUCCAAAAGUCUCCAAGCAGUAAGUGCUGGAGAGGGUGUGGAGAAAAGGGAGCCCUCUUACACGGUUGGUGGGAAUGUAAAAUGGUGCCGCCACUGUGGACGACAAUAUGGAGAUGCCUCCGAAAACUGAACAUAGAAUUGCCAUUUGAUCCAGCAAUCCCACUUCUGGGCAUCUAUCCAGAGAAAACCAUGACUCGAAAAUUUCGACACGUUCUCCUAUGUUCACUGCAGCACUCUUUGCAAUAGUCAAGACAUGGAAACAACCUAAAUGUCCCUCAAAGGAAGAGAGGUGGUACAUAUACACAAUGGAAUAUUACUUAGCCAUUAAAAGGAAUGAAAUAACAGCAUUUGCAGCAACAUGGAUGGAGUUGAAAAUUAUCAUGCUAAGUGAAGUGAGUCAGACAGUGAUAGCAACAUCAAAUGCUAUCACUGACAUAUGGAAUCUAAAAAAAAAAGGACACAAUGAAUUUCUUUGCAGAACAGAUACAGACUCACAGAUUUUGAAAAACUUAUGGUUUCCAAAGGAGACAGGUUGGGGGUGGGGGGGUGGGCUGGGGGUGUGGGAUGGACAUGUUAUAAAAUUGGGUUGUGAUGAUUGUUGUAUAACUAUAAAUGCAAUAAAAUUCAUUUUUUAAAAAAGAAUGCUCUGAAUGUUCCAACCACCCAUUCCACAGCCUCUUGCUAUUCAGAGUAAUAAUUACCCUGAAAUUUCAGAUACUUAGUCCUGGGUGGGAUAUUCCUGAAGCAUAGCAUUAGCAGAUACAGAAUUUUCUGUAUGGUUUCUUUCUACAGUAUAACAGAGUGAUGCAUUAAUUUCUCCCCUAGAGCAAACGAGCCUUAUUUGAGAAGGAGAACUCCUAAAGUUGCCCUCUUUCAUGAACCCAUUAGUAUAAUUGAAAGCUGGCUUGUUUUUGUCCAAAAUUACAUGAACAGACAGGCAAGGCCAUGAUCCCUCGACACACAGGAAAAGAAUUACAUUUUCUUCUUUUGUUACAUGAUUCCAGUACCUGAAAAACACAAGAGCAACAAAGAAGCAUCUCAAAGUUAAUGGAGGUUCUGGGCCAGACUGUGGCCAUCGAUGGCCACUCUCUGUGUCUCUGGCGGGGACAUCGCAGCCACUCUGGCGUUGGGGGUGGAAGGGGGGCAGUGCGGUGCUUGGAAAGGAUGUGGGCUGUUGGACUCAGCAAGGGACACACACGGCAGAUGUCUGAGGGUGGCACUGAUGUCACAUCCACCUUCUGCGUCUUUGCCAUCACCUGGUGUUUCUCAAGUUCUUAACACGUGGAAGGGUCUUAUUUAUUGGUGUCAUUCUCACCAAAAUAUUUGUCUCAUUUUUCCAUUUGUCCAGUGGGCUCCUGGAUGUGGUGGGGUUGCAGGAGACCCCAAGAGUGCCCUGUCUGUGACAAAAAUAAACUGUCAGCCAAUCCUGGAGCACAAAGGUGUGGGACCCCACCCCGCCCAGCCCAGACUCUGGAGACGGCACGCUUUGACAAGAUGAGGGGGGCAAAGGAGAGGACCUUGGUGGGACAACCAGACCUGCUGGUCCCCUCUGCGUGGCAGAAACAAUGGGCUGACUGAGCAAACCCACACGAGGCCAGGAAGAUGUGCAUGAAGCAGAGAAAGAUUCCUACUCUGGGGAGGUGUUCUGAUAAGACCGGUGCCCAGGCCUGGGCCCCAUCAGCUGGGCCUUACACUUGGCCACGUCUCUGCUGGGCAGGCCUGGACAAAUUGCUCGGCGUCUCUGAGCUCAGGCUGCCCACCUUCAACAGAACAUCGAGACAUGCCCGCCACGUGCUGUGUGACUUUUCUAUCACACCAUAACAAAUGACCACACACCGAGAGGCUUAAACACACACACACACACACACACACACACACACACACACACAUGUGUUAACUCACCGUUUAUCAGGCCAGAGGUCCGGGCUCAGCUUACCUAGGUCCUUCUCAGGUGUCACAGUUUGCAGUUAAGGUGUCUGCCAUAUUCUCAUCUGAAGGCUUGAUUGAGAAGACGGCUUCCCAGAGCCCCCGGGAGGACUCACAGCUCAGUUCCUUGCAGCUGUAGGGCUAAGAGUUUUAGGCUUUGCGAGGCACUGGCUGGAGCCUGCCCUCGGCUCCCAGAGGUCACCUGCAGUGCUUUGCCAUGUGUCCCUCAGCAGAGGCAGCUUACCCUGUGGCUGUUUGCUUCUCCAAGGCCAGAACAAGCAUCUAGCAAGGCCAAAGAUACAUGUAAUCACAGGAGAAGCCUCCAUCACAGAUACACAUUCCAGGCUUAAAGAGCAAGUUCCAGGUCCCACCCACCCUCACAGGGAGGGUUUCACAAAGGCCUGAGCCGAAGAAAGUGGGGGUCACAGUGCCAUCUUGGACCCUGCCCACCGUCACAGGUGCUCGAGAAAGAGUGGUCAUGGCUGGUCGUGUGUGUGUUAUGAUUUCAAAUGUCUGAGUUGGUAUCGAACCAUUCUUCCAAUGCCAACCAUGUGGUCUAUCUAGGGUGACAUAGUUUUAAGUGUGACCAGAAAAAGGUAACAUCCUACACAUUGCCAAGAUUCAGCUGGCACGUUCUAUCAGGGGAAGGCUAUACGGGCAAGAGAGUAAAUAAGAGUUCAGAAAACUAUGCCACAUGUACAUUUAAUAUAGAAUAUUUGGUCAUAAGAUGUUCAAACAUUAUUGAAAUAAAAUAUAUUCUCAUGGUCAAGGUAUGUAUCCAAUUAAUGAAAUUACGGAUUAAUGAAAAUUAUUUAUUUCUAUAAUUUAUAUAUGCCCUUUUUGUAUAUUUACAUAUUAUUAUUACAUGGAUUUCAUAGCUGUUACACUAUAAGAAAACUAGCGUCAAAUAUACUCAGGUGCAGAGAGUGAGAAGCAGGGGUGAAAUCCAUCCCCCCGUUGGCACUGAGAACGGGGCCAGCUGACCUAGUGAAGUGGACUUAUCUGGAUGCCUUUCUCUAAACCAGCAAAUAGUUUUCAUCCAUCAGCACCGUGGGGGAUGCACAGUUGUCGGAAGAAAAGGGUCUUUCUAGGACCACAGCAAGGGGAGCACGUGCUGUGGCUUCUCUGCCGGGACCUUUCCCUGGGAAAGUCAGAUGUCACACGCCCAGGCUGGAAAGGCUGUGAUGGGCCACACAGCUCCUGCCCAGGAGCAGGAAUGCAUGGCACUGUCUGAGCAUCCUGCCCCAGCAAGCCAGUGCCCCCCAUGGUCUGAGGCUACACAACCAUGUCCACUGGCUUUAAUUUAAGUUGAAGCAUCAUCUGGCCCUUUGCAAAGGGAGACAGGACAAGGUGGCCCUAAAGCAGGAUGGAGUGGCAGCGAAGCCGAGGGGUGGCUCAUGAUGCCCACUUAUAGGAUGUUUACAAGCAUUAUAUACCACAAGAAGCUAACUGAUCUAGUGUGUGUAAAAAAAAAUCACAUAUACAUACAUAUAGGGACAUAGGUAUGUGAAUUUACGGGGAUAUGCAGAUGUGUGUGUUAGGGCCGUGGGGAGAGGUGCGUGUGUGUGUAAAAUAUAUGGGAAUGGAUGUCUGUGUGCACACAGACUCGUGGAUGGGGUUAUGUAUUUGUGGGUACAGGGAAAUAUGCCUAUGAAUGCAUAGGGUCUCUGUAUACAUAUAAACACAGAUAAAUGUGCAUACGAGGUUGUCUGUGUGCAAACAGUGAUAUCUGCCCAUGAACAGAUGACACAGGUAUAGACACGUGUACCUAAGCACGUGCACGAUGGGAUGUUCACGUUUAUAUGAGGAUGCGUGUCUGUGUAUAACUGGGGGGGUGUGUCUGUGUGCCUGGGGGGACACAAGUCUCCGAGUGCACACAGGUAAAAGGUCUGUGUAUACAGGAGAUGGAUGCUUAUUUUCUUUUUACAGCUGCACCUGUGGCAUAUGGAGGUUCUCAGGCUAGGGGUCCAAUGGGAGCUGCAGCUGCUGGCCUGCACCACAGCAAUGCAGGAUUUGAUUCCCAUCUGUGACCUACACCACAGCUCACGGCAACGCCAGAUCCUUAACCCACGGAGCGAGGCCAGGGAGGGAGCCCACGUCCUCAUGGAUCCCAGUUGGGUUCGUUUCCACGUAGCCAAAACAGGAACUCCGUGUACCUGUUAUUUUGACUUGGGGGAGUAAAGGCACAGGCAGGAAGCAUCUGCACUGGGACACAGACAUGAGCGAGAACAGCAAAAGGCAAAGUCAGAAACCGGGACCACCCCACUCUUUGAAGUGGAGAAAGAGGAAGAAACUCUCCGGGAUAAAAUGAGACAGAACAGCGAUGGGGACCAGAAGGCCAGGCACAGGAGGUGGCUGCAGGGCGAGUGUCAUCAGACGGGCUGGCCUCUGGCACCCCCGGGUGUGAUGCUCACCUCUGUCUCAGAUGGCCUUUGACCUUUGCUGAAGCUAUCCUCAAAUUUUAACACACAUGCAAAUCACCAGAUGUCUUAUGAAAAUGCAUUGCGCUUCAGUUCAUUUAGGCUGUGGCCUGAGAGUCUUUCUGCCUCUCUAACAAGCUCCCAAGAGAUGCUGAUGCUGCUGGUCUGUGGACCUCGCUUGGGGGAGCAAAGAUCUAA